GUGGGGAAUAUUGCGCAAUGGGCGAAAGCCUGACGCAGCGACGCCGCGUGGGGGAUGAAGCUUCUCGGAGUGUAAACCCCUUUCGACCCGGAAGAAAAGCCCGCAAGGGCCUGACGGUACGGGUAUAAGAAGCCCCGGCUAACUACGUGCCAGCAGCCGCGGUAAGACGUAGGGGGCCAGCGUUGCUCGGAAUUACUGGGCGUAAAGGGUUCGUAGGCGGUGCGGCAAGUCGGGAGUGAAAUCUCCAGGCUUAACUUGGAGGCUGCUUCUGAAACUGCCGUGCUGGAGUGCGGGAGAGGCGAGUGGAAUUGCAGGUGUAGCGGUGAAAUGCGUAGAUAUCUGCAGGAACACCCGUGGCGAAGGCGGCUCGCUGGACCGCAACUGACGCUGAGGAACGAAAGCUAGGGGAGCAAACAGG
rnacentral:rRNA from 1 species